CUUUGCAGAAAACGACAUGCAAUAUUGAUAGCCAAAAAAACCGCCAUUGUAUUUGUUUACAUAUGCAAAACAAUUUGAUUUUUGAAUUUAAAACCAAUUGGGGCUAUUUAAAACAAUAAGUAAAUAAAUAUUUAAUCAUUUGGUGUUGGUGGCACACUUGGAGCUGCGUCUGCGCCGGGUGUUGGUACUGGGAGUGGGUGGAACCUCUGGAUGCCGGGUUUUACUAAAACUUUGGGCCUUACCUAGCAUGGCCCGUCCGUAUUCUUCGUUUGGCUAGAAUUUGCGGCAUUUGUUCAAGGUGGCAGCCGCGUCGUCUUUGUUCGCUUGGAGCAUGCAAAUCUGUCAACAAAUUGGCGGCGAUUAGGCGUCACCACCCACCACCUACCACCAGGAGGAGUAGGAGAGCCUCCCACGUGGGAAUCAUAUGCCGCCUAGAGAUAGAAAUGCCGGCCAGUUUGUCGGUCAACAAUUUAGACAUAAUUUGAAAGCGUCGCCUCGUUUCAGUCCACACGCAAAGCGUGGUCCUCGCUUACGCAAUGGCCACAUGUCAAAUUAUGCAUAAUGGGAGCGCCAGCAGUGGAGUGGAAUGGAGCCAGGUGGUUUGGGCAGGAGGUGGGCUCAGAUGGCACCCAACGCAAGGCUUAAAACUGUCCCAUGUUCCACAUUAUGCACGAGAUUCAUCAACACCCAACGACCAGCCCCACUGCAAACCAGCUUUUGAUGAACUGCUACUGAUGAUGGGUAAUAUGUAAAGCAAAAGCAGACACAAACAUGUAAUUUUGUUUAUAGUUUAUAGUGGAUUUGUGUUCUAGUCUCCAUCCAGACACUCAUUACAUAUAAUAUAUAUGGAUGGGUAAGUGUGUGUGUGUCUUAACAAAUACAUUUAAUAUAUAUAUUCAACAUUAUAUAUUUCAGUUGUUGGGGUUGUUGUUGCGAUCCUCUACUUUUGUGGGACAUUGCACUGCAUGCAGCUCUCCAUCUGGGCAGUAUAAUCCUCAAUUUGUAUGGUCGUCUCAAAGAAGUUGUAGCGCAAGUGCACCGCCGAAGUGGCUGCAUCCAGUAUCUGCUUUGGAUUGGCAUUAGAAGCUGUUUGUGUGUGUGCGGGAAGAAGAAGGAAACGAUUAAGCGGUAUCAGCGUAGAUGAUAACAUUAAUGGAAUGAGGAGGAGUGCAGAACCCCUCUGUUCAGUUUCUCUCUUUCAAAAUUGUCCACGCUUAAAAAGCCAUUUCAAAAAUAAUUAAGCUAAUUGCGCACUGACUGCCCAUGGACAUGGACAAGGAGCAGUACCAGGCAGCCGCAGCAGCAGGAAGGACUGCCACCAGCAUUGGAGUGGAGUGGAGGAAAAGCAGCUUGAAACAACAACAAAUCCAUUGGGAUAAUUACCAUACCCAAAGCGCGCUUGGUUGUGGGUCGAUGGGGGCCAUGGACAAACACAUGUAUCAGCAACCUUUUUGGCCUGUUUCGAGCCAUGGACAUGGGCUCCCACACACACACACACACACACACACACACACACACACACACGGAUGGACGAACACCCUGGGGCUGCUACUCACCAAUGGCCAAAUGCGCAGAUAGCGCCACUUUAUUAAUGCUCAGCGCCCAGAUGCGCAAAUUGUGGACCCGCUCAACGCCCUCGAUGCCUUGGAAAAUCUGCAGUACUUCGGUAUAAUGCAUAUAGUUGGGUGUACCCUCCAUCAGUACCUGCCAAAAAAAAAAGGAAAGCAACGAAUAUAUACGAUUACUUAUAUGCUUUUGCCCAGCCAUUUAACAUUCGCUUUUUGUUGGUUGUUGUUAAAUGAACUUAAAUCCUUGAUAAUUGUUCCUAUUCAACGUUUUAAAACUGAUUCAAAUAACAAUAUCUAUCAAAUUAUUGGAUUCAAUUAUGGGUAGUCAAUUCAUUCAAUGAAUGAGUGAAAUUUUAAAUGAUAUUAUUAUUGAAUUCAUGUUUGAAUGUACAUGUUUCUGUUGUUUUUUGAUGGAUGAUUCAAGUUACGAAAAUGUAUUUUCGCCAUUUCCAAUAUGGUGUGUGUGAAAAGAGCAUUUAAAAUUGUAUUUAAAUGAGAUUCAAUGAUUAAACUGUAAAAAUGAUUUUAA